rnacentral:rRNA from 1 species
GGACCCGCACAAGCGGUGGAGCAUGUGGUUUAAUUCGAAGCAACGCGCAGAACCUUACCCAGGCUUGACAUCCUCAGAACCUCUUGGAAACAAGAGGGUUGCCCUCUCACGAGGGAAUUGAGUGACAGGUGCUGCAUGGCUGUCGUCAGCUCGUGCUGUGAGGUGUUCGGUUAAGUCCGGCAACGAGCGCAACCCCUGUCGCUAGUUACCAGCAUUUAGUUGGGGACUCUAGCGAGACUGCCGGUGAUAAACCGGAGGAAGGUGGGGACGACGUCAAGUCCUCAUGGCCCUUAUGUCUGGGGCUACACACGUGCUACAAUGGCAUCUACAGAAGGCAGCGAAGUCGCAAGGCG